CCGAAAAGACGUUGAGACCAUGCUUCUCAACGUUGCCUGAGGAUGGGGCCGGGUCCGAUCAGGUUGUUGGUGAGGUAACGGCUCACCAAGCCUAUAACCGGUACGGGCCGCGGGAGCGGAAGCCCGGAGAUGGGCACUGAGACAAGGGCCCAGGCCCUACGGGGCGCAGCAGUCGCGAAAACUCCGCAAUGCGCGAAAGCGUGACGGGGCUAUCCCGAGUGCCGUCCGCUGAGGAUGGCUUUUCCCCGGUGUAAUGAGCCGGGGGAAUAAGGAGAGGGCAAGCCUGGUGUCAGCCGCCGCGGUAAUACCAGCUCUCCGAGUGGUAGGGACGAUUAUUGCGCUUAAAGCGUCCGUAGCUGGCCCAGCAAGUCUUCCGUUAAAUCCAGCGACCUAAUCGUUGGGCUGCGGAAGAUACUGUUGGGCUAGGGGGCGGGAGAGGUCGACGGUAUUCCCGGGGUAGGGGUGAAAUCCUAUAAUCCCGGGAGGACCACCAGUGGCGAAGGCUGUCGGCUAGAACGCGCUCGACAGUGAGGGACGAAAGCUGGGGGAGCGAACCGGAUUAGAUACCCGGGUAGUCCCAGCUGUAAACGAUGCGGGCUAGGUGUUGGGGUGGCUACGAGCCACCUCAGUGCCGCAGGGAAACCGUUAAGCCCGCCGCCUGGGAAGUACGGCCGCAAGGCUGAAACUUAAAGGAAUUGGCGGGGGAGCACCACAAGGCGUGAAGCUUGCGGUUUAAUUGGAGUCAACGCCGGGAACCUUACCGGGGGCGACAGCAGGAUGAAGGCCAGAUUGAAGGUCUUGCUGGACAAGCUGAGAGGAGGUGCAUGGCCGUCGCCAGUUCGUGCCGUGAGGUGUCCUGUUAAGUCAGGCAACGAUCGAGACCCGCACCCUUAGUUGCAACCUUUGCGGAAUCCGCAAGGGGCACACUACGGGAACUGCCGCCGAUAAGGUGGAGGAAGGAGCGGGCAACGGCAGGUCAGUAUGCCCCGAAUCUCCCGGGCCACACGCGAGCUGCAAUGGCAGGGACAAUGGGUUCCAACCUUGAAAGGGGGAGGCAAUCCCUAAACCCUGCCUCAGUUGGGAUCGAGGGCUGCAACCCGCCCUCGUGAACAUGGAAUGCCUAGUAAUCGCGCGUCAUCACCGCGCGGUG
rnacentral:rRNA from 1 species